rnacentral:misc_RNA from 1 species
GAUGAAGAACGCAGCGAAAUGCGAUAAGUAAUGUGAAUUGCAGAAUUCAGUGAAUCUUCGAAUCUUUGAACGCAUCUUGCGCUCCUUGGUAUUCCUUGGAGCAUGCCUGUUUGAGUAUCAUGAGCAAAUCUCAAAGUCAAUUCCUUUUGUUAAUUCAAUUGGUUUUGCUUUGGACUUGGAGGUCUUGCAGAUUUUCACAGUCUGCUCCUCUUAAAUGCAUUAGCUGGAUCUCAGUAAUUAUGCUUGGUUCCACUCGGCGUGAUAAGUAUCACUCGCUGAGGACACUGUUAAAAAGGUGGCCAGGAAAAUACUGAUUGAACCGCUUCUAACGGUCUAUUAAGUUAGACAAUUACCCUUAAGUUUGAUCUCAAAUCAGGUAGGACUACCCGCUGAACUUAAGCAUAUCAAUAAGCGGAGGA